rnacentral:rRNA from 1 species
CCCCAGACUCCUACGGGAGGCAGCAGUGGGGAAUAUUGGGCAAUGGGCGCAAGCCUGACCCAGCAACGCCGCGUGAAGGAAGAAGGCUUUCGGGUUGUAAACUUCUUUUGUCAGGGAAGAGUAGAAGACGGUACCUGACGAAUAAGCCACGGCUAACUACGUGCCAGCAGCCGCGGUAAUACGUAGGGAGCAAGCGUUGUCCGGAAUUACUGGGUGUAAAGGGAGCGUAGGCGGGGAUGCAAGUUGGGUGUCAAAACUACCGGCUCAACCGAUAGUCGCACUCAAAACUGCAGCUCUUGAGUGAAGUAGAGGCAGGCGGAAUUCCUAGUGUAGCGGUGAAAUGCGUAGAUAUUAGGAGGAACACCAGUGGCGAAGGCGGCCUACUGGACGGUGACUGACGCUGAGGCUCGAAAGCGUGGGGAGCAAACAGGAUUAGAUACCCUAGUA